GACGAACGCUGGCGGCGUGCCUAAUACAUGCAAGUAGAACGCUGAAGGAGGACCUUGCUUCUCUGUAUGAGUUGCGCACGGGUGAGUAACGCGUAAGUAACCUGCCUGGUAGCGGGGGAUAACUAUUGGAAACGAUAGCUAAUACCUCAUAAGAGUAGAUGUUGCAUGACAUUUGCUUAAAAGGUGCAAUUGCAUCACUACCAGAUGGACCUGCGUUGUAUUAGCUAGUUGGUGGGGUAACGGCUCACCAAGGCGACGAUACAUAGCCGACCUGCGAGGGUGGUCCGCCAAAAUGGGACUGAGAAACGGCCCAGAAUCCUACGGGAGGCAGCAGGAGGGAAUCUUCGGCAAUGGACGGAAGGCUGACCGAGCAACGCCGCGUGAGUGAAGGAGGUUUUCGGAUCGUAAAGCUCUGUUGUAAGAGAAGAACGAGUGUGAGGGUGGAAAGUUCACACUGUGACGGUAUCUUACCAGAAAGGGACGGCUAACUACGUG
rnacentral:rRNA from 1 species